AACAAUACUACUUGCUCUGGGAGUUCCUCAGGGAAACCAUUCAAUGUUGGGGGUCUAUGUAUGUAUGCUGGGCCAGCAUUAGGGGGUGACAACCAUGAUGGUUGUCACAGGCCUGGCGGUCAUGGGGGGCACGGACUGCACUGCUAAUGCUCUGCGUGUCCAUGCCCCCUGCCCUUCAAUGUCAAUUUUUGGGAAGGCUUGGCCUGAAGUUGUGGGCGGGGCUAUGUGCCUUUAAAAGGGACUCCUCCCCCCCUUCAAUACAUUACCGUGAUUGACAUAUUGACCCCCAUAGAGUGAGGGAAGACAUGGGGGGCUUAGGAAGUGGCAGGAGCACUGCUCCCC